rnacentral:rRNA from 1 species
UACGAAGGGGGCUAGCGUUGCUCGGAUUGACUGGGCGUAAAGGGCGCGUAGGCGGUUCGUACAGUCAGACGUGAAAUUCCUGGGCUCAACCUGGGGGCUGCGUUUGAUACGUGCGGACUUGAGUGCGGAAGAGGGUCGUGGAAUUCCCAGUGUAGAGGUGAAAUUCGUAGAUAUCGGGAGGAACACCGGUGGCGAAGGCGGCGACCUGGGUAGAUACUGACGCUGAGGCGCGAAAGCGUGGGGAGCAAACAGG